CCUACGGGGGGCAGCAGUGGGGAAUAUUGGACAAUGGGGGCAACCCUGAUCCAGCCAUGCCGCGUGUGUGAAGAAGGCCCUCGGGUUGUAAAGCACUUUCAGUGAGGAAGAACGCCUGGUGGUUAAUACCCAUCAGGAAAGACAUCACUCACAGAAGAAGCACCGGCUAACUCCGUGCCAGCAGCCGCGGUAAUACGGAGGGUGCGAGCGUUAAUCGGAAUUACUGGGCGUAAAGCGCGCGUAGGUGGCUUGAUAAGCCGGUUGUGAAAGCCCGGGGCUCAACCUGGGAACGGCAUCCGGAACUGUCAAGCUAGAGUGCAGGAGAGGAAGGUAGAAUUCCCGGUGUAGCGGUGAAAUGCGUAGAGAUCGGGAGGAAUACCAGUGGCGAAGGCGGCCUUCUGGACUGACACUGACACUGAGGUGCGAAAGCGUGGGUAGCAAACAGGAUUAGAUACCCCUGUAGUC
rnacentral:rRNA from 1 species